UGUUUUUUGUUUGUUUGGGGGUUUUGGUUUUGGCUGAUUUUGUUGUAGUUUUUUUUUCCUUCCCAUUUAAGAGACUUUUCAGAGGCAUAUGUGAACAGGAGUGAUUGUUACAGAUAUUCGAGCAGAGACUGAGAAUUAAUUGCUAGAAAACUGCUCCUGUAUUAGGGUCUGAGGAAGAGUUUCUCAGCACAGCAGUGCCAGAAUUAUGCAGAAGGUUACAGAGAAGAGGAAGAUACCAAUUACAGCAAUAGAAAGCGCCGGGCUGGGAGCACAGAGAUAAACAUCUGGAAGGCUUCCUGGGGCAAUUGCAUUUGAAAACUUGAAAAUAGGAAGCGUGAACUUAACUGGGAUCCUGAAAUGGGAGUGAAAUUGAUGGAGUUGUUUGCAGGUGGAAUCACAUAAUUGCAGUUCUUCCUAUUAUCAGUGGUCCUUUACAUUCAGAGGAGUUUAGGAAGCUGGACUUUUAAAGUACAUAGAAGGAGAACUGACAAUGGAGUGUGGGAGGCAAGAUGAGAGCAUGAAUUAAUAUUUCUGCAGUGGUGAAGUCAAAGCCAAACGUGGGAUCUGACUACCGUUAUUUGUCCUCAAUAUUUAGCAAUUAAUAUUAGUUCUAUUUAAUAGAAUCUAUUUUGUUAUUUGAAUGUUAAACAUUCAGUCGGUGCUAACAUCACAGCUUAAAUCAUCCUGUCAUUAUUGCAGCAUGCUUUGCUCACUAGGCAACCUGUCCUAUUGUGAGAGGCUUAUAACUCGAGUUAUGUUUUGGCUGAGCUUGUUUUUUAGCAAGAGCAAACCAUUUAAUUCUUUUGAGAAAAAUGAGGGGGAAAGAGGAUAUUUUGGGCUGUUUUAGGUGUAUUUGAAAUACUUCUGAUGCAGGAUGCUGGUGGUAGUAGUAGGGCAUGAGGAGGAAAGAGAAUAAUUAGCUUACUUCUCAUAUCUGCUGUGCAGGGAAAACUCUUGAACUAAUAAUUUUCAAAGUUAAUUUCAGGUGAAAAUUCUCUUCUUGGUCUGAGAUCCUUAGGAUGUCAUAGACUUUAAUAAAAUUUUGGUUUCAUCUUUGAUGUCUGCACCUUUUGCAUUGGGCAAAAGAUUGUACUCCUAUGACCAUCAUUCACUCUUUCCAUCAAGCAUAUGUAUAUUUAAUAUCCCACAUCAUCUCUUCCUGACUGUACCUGGCAAAGGAAGUUCUUGCAGAAUCAUCGGUGCUUUGCCAAUCUUGAAGGCUGUUGCCUGCAGUGAUAUGAUGCAUGGAGGAACCUGCUUUGAUACUUGAUUUUCUUGGCUUCUCUGGAGGCUACUUCUGUGUUUUGGCAGCCUGCUGUUGUUGGUACUCGUUAUACUUCUUGUCUCAAUGCUUGAGGUGCAUUGAUUCUUUCAGGAAAUAUUUCUUUAAAGCUUAACACACAGUAUCUUCUACAAAAGCAUUCAUUUGAUGCUCAAUGGGAUGAUUUACUCAUAUUUCUAUCCACAGGCCAAAUAAACUACCACCAUCUAACUGGAGGAUUCUGCUAAGGGUUACCCUCAUGGACUCAUCUGAACGUUUAAGUCACAGUAGGGGAGAGGGAUUCUUUUUUAUUAAUAGGAUUUCAUGCUUCUGAGUACUUCCAAGGAAAUCAACCCCAGAAGUCCUCCCCAAAAGAAGCUGAAGGAACAAAAGCCAUCUUUUGACACAGACCAAGCCCCAGGAGGUUGGAAUAUUUAAAGAUCUUGUCAGGAGUUUUCUAACAAAGGCAAAUCUUCUAUCUCUGGCUUCAGAUCAGAACAAGAUUUUGAGUGAUGUAGAGUGGAGUUGCAAAUCUAGGAAGACCUACAUCUGCAAGUGAAAAACUGACACUGUUAUUUGAUGAUUCUUUGGUGAUACAGUCUGUCAGAAGCCAAAGUUAAAGCACUGACUUUCCUCAAUACACAUGGGAAGCAGAGCAUCGAGGUGGUCAGGUUCCUUGAUGCAAAAAUACAACAAAUUUUACCUAAACUUGAAUUACUGCAAGGUGGACUCUGAAGACUUUGUUACAAGUUCAUAAGACACUUCUUUUGUCACCUGCUGGUACUCCAAGGAUAAGAAUCAAGACUGACCUCUGGAGAAGGCCAGCUGCUCAACUAGAACUGACUUCCCUGAAGAUCCUGUUCACCUCUGCCCUAUUGUCAGAGAGUCUCUGAUAAAAUACUGAUUUUGCAACUUC